rnacentral:rRNA from 1 species
GUCGAACGAAGCUCGAUUCUUUGAGAUUUCGGUCAAAAGAAAAGAUGACUUAGUGGCGGACGGGUGAGUAAUGCGUGAGCAACCUGCCUCGGAGAGGGGGACAACAGCUGGAAACGGCUGCUAAUACCGCAUAAUGUAUUUGGAGGGCAUCCUCUGAAUACCAAAGAUUUAUCGCUCUGAGAUGGGCUCACGUCUCGAUUAGUUACGUUGGUCGAAGGUUAAACCGGGGCUUCCACCCAAAGGACUUGGCGGAAUUCCAAGUUAAGCCCCCGGGGAACCUUUGGGAAGGAACGGGGUUUUUUGAAAACCGGGGGCCACAACCACAACUUUUUGGGGGGGAACCUUUGGAAGAAUUACACCUGAGAUACGGCCCAGGACUCCUUACGCGGGAAGGCAAGCCAGUGGGGAAUAUUGGGCAAUGGGCGCAAGCCUGACCCAGACAACGCCGCGUGAACGGCAAGAAGGCUUUCGGGUUGUAAACUUCUUUUAUGAGGGACGAAGAAAUGUGACGGUACCUCAUGAAUAAGCCACCGGGCUAAACUUACGGUGCCAGCAGCCGCCGGUAAUACGUAGGUGGCGAGCGUUAUCCGGAUUUACUGGGUGUMAAGGGCGCGUAGGCGGGGAAGCAAGUCAGAUGUGAAAUCCAUGGGCUCAACCCAUGAAACUGCAAUUUUGAAACUGUUUACUACUUGAGUGCCCGGAGAGGUAGACGGAAUUCCUAGUGUAGCGGUGAAAUGCGUAGAUAUUAGGAGGAACACCAGUGGCGAAGGCGGUCUACUGGACGGUAACUGACGCUGAGGCGCGAAAGCGUGGGGAGCAAACAGGAUUAGAUACCCUGGUAGUCCACGCUGUAAACGAUGAAUACUAGGUGUGGGGGGACUGACCCCUUCCGUGCCGCAGUUAACACAAUAAGUAUUCCACCUGGGGAGUACGACCGCAAGGUUGAAACUCAAAGGAAUUGACGGGGGCCCGCACAAGCAGUGGAUUAUGUGGUUUAAUUCGAAGCAACGCGAAGUAACCUUACCAGGGCUUGACAUCCAACUAAUCGAAGUAGAGAUACAUUAGGUGCCCUUCGGGGAAAGUUGAGACAGGUGGUGCAUGGUUGUCGUCAGCUCGUGUCGUGAGAUGUUGGGUUAAGUCCCGCAACGAGCGCAACCCUUGUUGCUAGUUGCUACGCAAGAGCACUCUAGCGAGACUGCCGUUGACAAAACGGAGGAAGGUGGGGACGACGUCAAAUCAUCAUGCCCCUUAUGUCCUGGGCUACACACGUAAUACAAUGGCGUUUAACAGAGGGAGGCAAAACCGCGAGGUGGAGCAAAUCCCCAAAAAACGUCUCAGUUCGGAUUGCAGGCUGCAACUCGCCUGCAUGAAGUCGGAAUUGCUAGUAAUCGCGGAUCAGCAUGCCGCGGUGAAUGCGUUCCCGGGCCUUGUACACACCGCCCGUCACACCAUGAGAGUCGGGAACACCCGAAGUCCGUAGCUAACAGCAAUGAGAGCGCGGCGCGAAGUGGUUCGAUAAUUGG